AACUCACAAACCCACGCACGGUUGGUAAAACCGCAUUCCUUCUGCACACCGGAGCUUCUGCCGCCUUCUGCACACUGGAGCUUCUGCCGCCUUCUACACACCGGGACUCUUACCGCCACGCCGUAGCGAUCAUAUCCACGGCUGGUAAUUUUUUUUUGCUUUUUGUUUUUUCUUUGAAUUUCUGGGUUCACGAUUGUAAAGCAAUAGUUUUUCAAUUUAUGGGUUGUUCUUGUUCUUGUUCAUGUUCUUGUUUCUUUUUCUUUUUCUUGUUCUUUGAUUUCUAGGUUGUUUUUAUCCUUUCAAUUUUUGGGUUAUAGAUUAAACCCACAACUGGUAAUCUUUGUGAAAUUUAUGUGAUUGAUUUUGUGAAAUUUAUGCAAUUUAGAUCAUUUUGAGAGUAAUUUGAUUGGAAAAACUGUUAGGGUUUAUGUUUAGGGUCUGUGUUUAACUCAAAUGAGAUUUUAUUUGUUUAGGGCCUUUAAUGGUCUUGUGUUUGUGAUGGAAUCAUUCUUGUUGUUCUGCGGUAUGGUUUACUGAUAACUUCAUUGCUUGCUCCAUUUUUAUUGCUUUUUGUUUGCUGAACAUUUCAGUCUCUAAUGUCCUAAUUGAAUUGUGCUACCUUAAUUUCAUAUCAUAUUAAUUAGGAUUUGGAUUGUUGAAUGGCAGUGGAAUAGAAUACAGUUUUCAAUUAGGUUUUCCUCUGGUAUUGUUUGCCUCAAAAUCUAAUCCGUGAAACUGAAUAGCAAAGAUGAUGAUAACCUUGUACUUGUACUUAUGUGUAGAUACGAUGUGGGCAUGUAUCAUUGUAGCUUGUUCUUGUACUUAUGUCCUUUUCUACUUGCGUGGUUAUUAAAUAUGUAUAUUUUGUUUACACUUUCCUUCAUUGUCAUGGAAAUAGGGAGUUUUUGUUACAAAUUCACGAACUCUGGUUUUGGCAACUACUUUUUUUGUUGUUAAAAACGACUUUUCUUGUAGUGUCGAUUGUCAACUUUCUUGAGGUAAGAUUCUUUAAUUGUCCAUGAAUUGUUCAAUUCAAAGCAAGAAUUCUGGCAUCGGUUAUUUAUAUCAAUUGUUUUUUCAAUCUGUACAAUAUGAAUUGUUCAAGUUUAUUUAUUGAAUUGUUUGUUCUAGCCUAAUUAUAACAUGCCAUAACUUAGCAGCUAGUAUUGCCUAGCUAAUGACCGACAUGAUAACAAAGUAGUCAUAUGCCUUUUCUUUGUUAAUUAAUUCUUCUUGUAGUUUAUAUGAAUGCAUGAGAUAAUCAUGGAAUAUUUUUCUUUUCCUUUACAUUGUGUUUAAUUUUUUGCUGCAUAGAAAUGGAUCGUAGUUGGAUAUCAACAACAAAGCCGGGUGACCCUAAAUAUCUAGCGGGUGUUACACAAUUUGUAAACUUUGCUGUUAAGAAUAGUCAAUUGGGUUCUAAAUUACCCUGUCCGUGUUAUAUGUGUCAUAACUUAAUGCAUCAUAGAGUUGAUGAAAUUCUCAAACAAUUAAAUAAAUGGGCAUUUGAUAGAACAUAUACCCGUUGGAUAUGUCAUGGUGAACAAAAGGAAAUAUCUUCAACAAGUAGUAGUACUAGACAUGAUGUGCCAGAAGAUUAUAUGGAUGAGGGUGAUAGACUAGAUGACCUGUUACAUGAAGCUGCUAGUAGUGCUCCUGAAAAACCAGAAAUAUUUGAGAGUUUGGUUCAUGAUUCUGAAACACCCCUGUAUGCUGGCGGUAAGCAUUAAAAACUAUCUAGUGUACUUAGGGUAUAUAAUAUGAAAGCAAGAAAUGGUUGAAGUGAUAAGAGUUUUACUCAACUACUUGAAUUUUUGAAAGAGUUACUUCUUGAUGAUAAUGUCCUUCCUAAGGGAACUUAUGAGGCGAAAACAAUAUUAUGCAAAAUGGGUUUGCAAUAUGAAAAAAUACAUGCUUGUCCUAAAGAUUGCAUAUUAUUUAGAAAUGAGCAUGAAUCGUUGAAGACUUGCCCGGUAUGCAAUGCCUCACGGUACAAGAAAAAGGAAGGAGUGCCAGCUAAGGUUUUAUGGUACUUUCCAAUCAUGCCAAGAUUUAAAACACUAUUCUCAAAUGCAGAGGAUGCUAAAAAUUUGACAUGGCAUAAGAAUGGUCGACUUGAUGAUGGGAAACUUAGGCACCCAGCCGACUCCCCUCAAUGGAGGUUAAUUGAUGAUAAAUUUAAGAACUUUAAGAAAGAAGAACGUAACCUACGCCUAGCCUUGUCUACUGAUGGUAUGAAUCCGUUUGGCUCUCUAAGCAGCACCCAUAGUACUUGGCCGGUAAUUUUAGUGACUUACAACUUACCUCCUGAGUUGUGCAUGAAAGGAAAGUAAAUGAUGUUGUCAAUGAUAAUUUCUGGGCCAAAGCAACCAGGAAAUGACAUCGAUGUUUACCUAACUCCUCUAGUUGAGGAUUUGAUAUUGUUGUGGGAAAAAGGUGUAGACGUUUAUGAUGCACAUCGAAAUAAAAAUUUCAAUUUGCGGGCAUUAUUGUUCACUAACAUUAAAGAUUAUCCAGCUUAUGGCAAUCUCUCAGGAUAUACGGUCAAAAGGAAAAACAACUUGCCCUAUAUGUGAGGAUGGUACCGAAGGGAAGUGGUUAUCAACAUCUGGUAAAAUGGUUUUUAUGGAAUAUUGUCACUACCUUCCAAAAGAUCAUCCUUAUCGUAAGCAAAAAAAGGUUUUUAAUGGAGAACAAGUAUUUGAGAAACGUCCAAAGAUCUUGAUUGGUGAACAAGUGUUUGAAAAGGUGAAAGACAUCCAAAUUACAUUUGGUAAGAAAAAGGAACACAAAGAUGCAAUUCCUUCGAAGGGGUACAAGAAGUUUUCAAUAUUAUGGCGUCUACCUUAUUGGAUAUUCCUCUUUGUGAGGCAUUUUCUUGAUGUGAUGCACAUUGAGAAGAAUGUGUGUGAUAGUGUAAUUGGUACUUUGUUGAACAUCCCCGGUAAGACAAAAGACGGAGUUAAAGCUAGAGUAGACUUGAAGGAACUUGGAAUUAGAGAAGAACUCCAUGUCGUUGAGGUGAAUAAUAAGAAAAGAAAAUAUCUACCUCCGGCAGCUCAUACGUUAUCUAGAAAAGAGAAAAUUGAAUUUUGUGAAAGUUGGCCGGAGUUAAAGUUCCCGAGGGUUAUUCUUCUAAUAUUCGUAACCUUGUGUCAAUGGAAAAUUUGAUGCUUGUGGGUCUUAUGUCUCAUAAUUGUCAUGUUUUGAUGCAACAUCUUUUACCAGUGGCCAUUCGUUCUAUUUUACCUAAAAAAGUUCGUUAUGCGAUCAUUAGGCUUUGUUCUUUUUUCAAUUUUAUAUACAAUAAGGUAAUUGAUCUUACUGACUUGGAUAUUUGGGAGAAGGAGAUUGUCAUUAUUCUUUGCCAAUUACAAAUGUACUUUCCUCCAUCUUUCUUUGAUGUUAUGGUUCAUCUAACUGUUCACUUAGUUAUGGAGAUAAAACUUUGUGGUCAAGUGUAUUUAAGAAAUCAGUGGGCUUUUGAAAGACAAAUGAAAACAUACAUGGGAUAUGUAAAGAAUGCUUAUCGACCUAAAGCAUGCAUUGCCGAGCGACAUCUUUAUGAUGAUGUGAUGGCAUAUUGCAACAAAUAUUUGAAGAAUGUGAAGAUGGUCGGGAUUCCUGAGUCUCGACAUUGUGGAUGACUUGAUGGGAAAGAGACUAUAGGUAUGACACAACUCGAUAUGUCUCCUGAUAAACUGCAUAUGGCACAUACAUAUAUUCUCCAUAAUGAAGAUGAAGUGGUACCAUAUAUUGGAAAACACAUGGCUCACUUGAGAAAGAAUCGACGUAAGGUAGCUGAAAAGGCUUUAACCAUUGAGCAUAAUAAAACAUUUUCUAAAUGGUUUAAAGAUCAAGUGAUGAAUGAACUCAAGGAUUCCUUAAACUCUAUUUCCAAUCGACUCAAGAGUUUAGCAUAUGGACCACAUUUCAAUUCCUCCUUUUAUGCAGCAUAUGUUAUUAAUGGCUGCACAUUCUACACUAGAUCCCAAGAUGAAAUCAGUACUAUGCAAAAUAGUGGGGUGACUGUUGAAGCUGAAGCUAUGCAUUUUUCUAGUGCUAAAGACAAACGCCCAAUCUACAGCAAGAUGCAAUAUUAUGGAGUAAUUGAAGAGAUAUGAGAGCUGCAUUACUUUGAUUUUUCAGUUCCUCUUUUUGGGUGCAAUUGGGUUGACAACAAGAGCGCUGUAACAGAUGAUGUAGGUUGUACAUUGGUUAAUUUAAGCAAAAUUGGUCAUAAGGAAGAUCCGUUCGUACUAGCAAGUCAAGUAAAACAAGUGUUUUAUAUGACGGACCCAAGUGACAAAAGGAUGUCUGCGGUUAUAACACCAAGGUCUAUACGGGAAGACCAUGACGAAGGGAUUUGGGUUGAAGAAAAAAGCAUUGAGGGAAAAUCCCAAAAGCGUCGUCAUACAUCAAAAACUUAAGAAGAUUGAGGUUUGUUUUAUUAAUUAGAAUUUUAUUGGUUACAUAUACACUCAAUGGUAUACCUAUUUUUAUUUUUAAGUCCUUAAUGUUUUUUACCCGAAUUCUAUCAAAUCGUUUUACUCUGUGUAGGCUAAUGGCAAAUAAGAAGAAAUCUAUACCUGCUAAGCGAGUACGUGAUGAUGAAACAACUGAUGAGAGUGAUAGUGAUGAUGGUGAUCACAAGGGUCGUACUGUACUUGCAAAGGUUGGGAAGGCUAUUCAUGAAGGCCAGAAAAUCAAGUUGGAAUGGACUAAGAAACCUGAAAUUCCAUGUGGUGAACACAAAACUACCUUCUGCUCAUACAUAGGUAUUAUUGCUCGUGAAAGAGUCAAUAUUAAUUACAAGCACUGGUCUGAUCUUCCAGAACAACUCCUUGACGAAGUGUAUGAAUUCAUAGCUAAGGGAUUUGUGGUACUCAAACAUCGUAAAAAUUGGAAUUUGUCACGAGUUGAAACUCGUUGGAGAGCUUAGAAAGCUAAAUUAAGGAAGAUUAGUUGUAUAGAUCUACAGGCAACAUAAGAGAAAAGCCACCAAAGGCUUAUCCGUGGAUACUUCAAAUAGAUUGGGACAAAUUCAUCAAGUAUUGUACAUCCAAGGAGUUCAAGCAAUUGAGCGAAACUAAUAGAAAAAAGGCAAAUUUGAAGACAUCUGGCUAUCGAGGAGGGUGACUUGGGUGUCAACAUUUUGAGAAAGAGCUUGAAAAAGAGCUAGAUGAACAAGGGGUUCAUCUUGAUCAAGUUCCUAGGCAUUAGACUUGGAUAAGAGCUCAUUCUCAUGUGAAAGACGGAGGUAUUACCUUGAAGAAUCGAUCCGAUUUAGCAAUUGCUAAGGAAUUUCAAGCAUUGGAAGCUCAACAAAAUAACGGAGAGAUAGUUGCUGAAGGAAGAAAUGACAUUUUAGCAAAAGUUAUUACGAAAAAAGAGCAUGGUGGUUGUGUAAGAGCCGUUGGAUCAGGCAUAACAAAUAAGGAGUACUUUGGCUUCAACAAACUAGCACCACCUAAAGAAUUACACUCUGUAAUCAAUUGUAUACACACAAAAACGAUGGGCAUGGAGAAAAAGCAGAAUUAUAUGAUGUCUUUUAUAAUGACGUGCUGUCAAUUGAAUCAGGAGCAAUUGUGUGACUUCAUGAAAACAUUUAGUGAUUGUGUUGGCCAGGGAAUGGGUGGUGGUAGGAUUUUGGGUCUAAUUCCUAUCUUAGUGAUUCUACUGGACAAAAAGAAAAAAGUGGUAAUGGUGGAAAAGGAUCAAGUUUUAUGCCAUUUGCAAGUUUAGGAGUUCAAGAUGUGCAAUUUGAACUUGUGACUAGUAGUGGUGGUGACAUUGUUGACAAUGAAGCAAGGAAAGAAUUUAUUACAAAUGAAGAGCAUGAUAAUAGUGAGGAGCAUGGAUUUGAAAAGGAAUAGGUUCAUGAACCAGGUAUAAAAGAUCGUCAUACUAACAUUGAUGAUUGUGAACCAUAUGCUGUUCAAUUGCCUGAUUCCGAAGCGCAACCCACACCUUACAAUUUUCAAACUUCUCCUUUUAUUGAGUUAUAUCAUUAUCAUGAGAGUUUUACUUAGAUUAAAUAAAUAUGUUACUUUGUAUUAUAAUGAUAGAUUAAAUUUUUAAUAAUUUUAAACUACUAAUUUUAUAUGAUUAUAAAUGUUUCAUGAUGAAUAGGGAUGGAAUGAUUGUUACUUGGGGCUAGAGGGAGAUAAAGGGAUAGAUAUUGUUGCCAUGGUACAGGUUUAUAUAACGAAAGCAACAGAAAUUGUGAAGAAUCAUGGGGCCCCUAUGCCAAGUGGUCGUUAUCGAGUCAAUAUUCAGACGGAUAUCAAGCCUAGAGCACUUUUGCCAUAUCCUAAUGCGGAAAUGACACUAGUUUGUCAAGCUUAGAAAUCUUUUAUUCCUUGGCCGUGUCACUUCAUUUUCCCAUUUCCCAGUGAUGCACAGAAGCAAGAUGCAAACAAUUCCAUCUCAGCAUCUCAAAAUUCACCUUCAUCCUAUUUUCAAACUAAGGACGCAUCUGCAUAGCAAGAUGAUGGAAACAAACUCAUCUCACCAUCUCCGAAAUCACCUUCAUCAAUUUCAUCAUCAAAUCAGAAGUACCAAAUCACUGAUAAAGAUCGUGCCAAGCUGACCACAAACAUGGUAAAAAGUUUUAAGUUUGAAGAUUUAGCAAUGAGAAAAAGUGAAGAACAAAUCACUAUAGAAAUACCACACUUUGUGUUCCGCAAUAAGCAUACUGUUGACAUUGAUUACAUAGACAUGCUUGAUUGGUGUUAUCAACAAGAAGUAGGAGUAGCGCACCUUUCAAUUUUUAUGAAGUCAGUAACUUAAAACUCCAUUUUUUUUCUUUUUUAUUUUUAAAGUUAUAAUUUAUUUAUUAAUUUAUUUUUCUUAUGAUUUGCAAGGUAUUUGAGUGAAUCAUGUCAAGAAGAAGGUAUCUUCGGAAUGUAUGAUUUUUGUGAUGCUAAUAUGCUUUCUCCAUUAUCAUCAAUAGAGAAAGAAGAGGAUCGAUCUAACUACUUGGCUAGCAUUUCGCAUGUAAUAAUGCUAAGAACAAAAACCAAUUAUUCAUGGCACCUUAUUACGACAAGUAAGUGACAAAAUUUUUGUUGUGAUUGUCUUAUAUUAUUAUAAUAAUGUUUUUUUUUCAUCAAAAGAAUCCCCUUUAGUGAUAUUGAUUUGCAUGUAUGAAUGCUAUCUUUGUGUAGUCGGCAUUGGAUGUUAGCAAUUAUUAGUCCAUGGAAGGGAUUGGUUUAUUGGUUAGAUCCUGCUAGUGUGGAAAAUAAAGUGCGUGAAAAUGCUCGUAAAAUUAUUUAUGAGGGGCUUGUGAAAUUUAGCAUGGUCCAUCGAAAGGAUCUCAAAAGAGAUUAAAAAGAAUCCUAAAGUUGGUUGGAACAAACUAAAAUGUCCUCGCCAACCUCAAGACGCCAAAUACUGUGGAUAUUAUGUAUGCCGUUAUAUGCUUGAGACUAGUGAAAGUAGGAAACAAUUGAUUUUGGAGGAGUUUUCCCCUAGGGCUCCUUCAACUUAUUCUCAGGAGAGCAUUGAUCAUGUUUGAGAUUUAUGGAUUUCUUACGUUGUCAAACAUAGGCAACAAAAAUUGGAGAAGGAAGCAGAAGAUUUGGAUGAUGUGUUAUAAGAUCAUAUCGAUGGAAAUUAUUAAAGAUUAGAAUUCAUGAAGAAUUUUGAUGACAUUUGACUUUUGGAAUAAGAUAAUUGUAUAGUUGAAUUCUAGUCUAAUUAUAUGAUGAAAUGGUUUAUAAUUAUAUG